rnacentral:rRNA from 1 species
GGAUUAGGCAUGCAAGUCGCGCGAUAAAUGUAGCAAUACAUGGAAAGCGGCGAAAGGGACAGUAAUGCGUGGGAACCUACCUUGGGGUCUGGGAUAGCGGCGGGAAACUGCCGGUAAUACCAGAUGACAUCCCCGGAUCAAAGGUGUGAUUCCGCCCUGAGAUGGGCCCACGUGCUAUUAGCUAGUUGGCGGGGUAAUGGCCCACCAAGGCUAAGAUGGCUAGCGGGUGUGAGAGCACGACCCGCGUCACUGGGACUGAGAUACUGCCCAGACACCUACGGGUGGCUGCAGUCGAGAAUCUUCGGCAAUGGGCGCAAGCCUGACCGAGCGACGCCGCGUGCGGGAUGAAGGCCCUCGGGUUGUAAACCGCUGUCGAGGGGGACGAAAUUUCAGUGGGUACUCCCAUUGAAUUGACCGAUCCCUGGAGGAAGGGUGGGCUAAGUUCGUGCCAGCAGCCGCGGUAAGACGAACCACCCAAACGUUAUUCGGAAUUACUGGGCUUAAAGCGUGCGUAGGCGGCCUUGAAAGUUAGGUGUGAAAUCCCACAGCUCAACUGUGGAACUGCGCUUAAAACUACAAGGCUAGAGGAAUAUAGAGGUGAGCAGAACAGAUGGUGGAGCGGUGAAAUGCGUUGAUAUCAUCUGGAAUACCGGAGGCGAAGGCGGCUCACUGGGUAUUUUCUGACGCUGAGGUACGAAAGCUAGGGGAGCGAACGGGAUUAGAUACCCCGGUAGUCCUAGCCGUAAACGAUGAGCACUAGAUCGAGGGACUGCACAGUUUCUCGGUCGUAGCGAAAGUGUUAAGUGCUCCGCCUGGGGAGUAUGGUCGCAGGGCUGAAACUCAAAU